AUACGUAGGUGACAAGCGUUAUCCGGAUUUACUGGGCGUAAAGGGCGUGUAGGCGGUCUUGCAAGUCAGAAGUGAAAUUCCUGAGCUCAACUCGGGCGCUGCUUCUGAAACUGCAGGACUUGAGUGCUGGAGGGGAUAGCGGAAUUCCUAGUGGAGCGGUAAAAUGCGCAGAUAUUAGGAAGAACACCGGUGGCGAAGGCGGCUAUCUGGACAGUAACUGGCGCUGAGGCGCGAAAGCGUGGGGAGCAAACAGGAUUAGAUCCCCUGGUAGUCCACGCCGUAAACGAUGAAUACUAGGUGUAGGGGGUAUCGACUCCCUCUGUGCCGCAGUUAACACAAUAAGUAUUCCGCCUGGGGAGUACGGCCGCAAGGUUGAAACUCAAAUGAAUUGACGGGG
rnacentral:rRNA from 1 species